rnacentral:rRNA from 1 species
GAAUCAACGCUGGCGGCGUGCCUAACACAUGCAAGUCGAACGAGAAAGGGGAGCAACCCCUGAGUAAAGUGGCGACCGGGUGAGUAACACGUGACUAACCUACCCUCGAGUGUGGAAUAACAUCGGGAAACCGAUGCUAAUACCGCAUAACAUCGCAAGAUCAAAGGAGCAAUCCGCUUGAGGAGGGGGUCGCGGCUGAUUAGCUAGUUGGCGGGGUAACGGCCCACCAAGGCGAAGAUCGGUAGCCGGCCUGAGAGGGCGCACGGCCACACUGGAACUGAAACACGGUCCAGACUCCUACGGGAGGCAGCAGUGGGGAAUUUUGCGCAAUGGGGAAAACCCUGACGCAGCAACGCCGCGUGGAGGAUGAAGCCCCUUGGGGCGUAAACUCCUUUCGACCAAGACGAUAAUGACGGUACUGGUGGAAGAAGCACCGGCUAACUCUGUGCCAGCAGCCGCGGUAAUACAGAGGGUGCAAGCGUUGUUCGGAAUUAUUGGGCGUAAAGGGCGCGUAGGCGGCGCGACAAGUCACCUGUGAAAUCUCCAAGCUUAACUUGGAGCCUGCAGGCGAAACUGUCGUGCUGGAGUAUGGGAAGAAGUGCGUGGAAUUCCCGGUGUAGCGGUGAAAUGCGUAGAUAUUCGGGAGGAAACACCUGUGGCCGAAAGCGGCGCA